ACGGUGGAAUUCAUAGUCGUAGUAGGGGGCCCCUAAGGGGAUUAUUCAGCCGCUAUGUGUCGAAUUCAACCCCUACGCGUUUCAUAGACAAAAGAAACCCCUCAUUUGACAGGAGCUGGCGGCUGACUGCUGAAUUACCGAUAUUUGUCAGCCAAACCAUCCCCUGGCAUUUUUUUUUGUUGUUUUUCGUGAUUUAUUAAUUAAAAAGUGGACUUGGAAAGUGUUAAGACUGUGUAUAAACAGCGAGUUAUAUCAGUAUCCAAGAUAAAUAUUCGCAAUUGCGUAAAUCCAGUUUAAUACUAUGGCGUUAUGGAAUGUACGAAAGAUUCUCAUAUUAGGCAUAAUAUGCCUCUGUUUGAUGAAGAAUGAACACAGAAGACCCAAGAGAGGAAUACCAAUACCGCUAUUAUUAUGCAUUCUAGCAGCACUUCGAUUCUAUGUAACGGGAUGUUUCCAGACUGUAGGUGCAGUCCAUCAAGCAUUCUAUGAAAUAACAGAAAUGCCACAAGUCAAGCUGUAUUGAUGGCACACAUAGGUAUACAUAUAAACAACCCCGGAGGACCCUAUACACAGAUUUAAAGAAACCGGCUAUCAUGGCAGGGAAUAGCAGUGAUGAGCUCUGAGAAUACUGUUUUACCAAGAAUACUGAGAAUACUUUGGUCCUUGAAAAUCCGAGUUUUCAGAUCACAGUAAUUGGAAGACCCACAUACCUUGAAAAGUCAGCAGCAUUUAAUAUCGAGGUAGUAGGAGUGAGUGCAAUGUAUUGUAAGGUGGUCACUCACUCUGAAGUCCAUAACAAUAGAAAAUAUAUACAAAUCUUAAUUGAAUGAAUGAUGGAAAAUAAAAAUUUAUUGAUUCACAUCUUUAAUAAAGAUAAUUAUUAAAUGUUUACUUCUGCAUUUUUCAUUUAAGU